rnacentral:rRNA from 1 species
UCGGUUUAAUUGGAUUCAACGCCGGAAAUCUUACCGGGACCGACAGCAAUAUGAAGGCCAGGCUGAAGACUUUGCCGGAUUAGCUGAGAGGUGGUGCAUGGCCGUCGUCAGUUCGUACUGUGAAGCAUCCUGUUAAGUCAGGCAACGAGCGAGACCCACGCCAACAGUUGCCAGCUCGUCCUCCGGGAUGGUGGGGACACUGUUGGGACCGCUCUGCUAAAGAGGAGGAAGGAAUGGGCAACGGUAGGUCAGCAUGCCCCGAAUUAUCUGGGCUACACGCGGGCUACAAUGGGUGGGACAAUGGGUAUCGACACCGAAAGGUGAAGGCAAUCUCCUAAACCCAUCCGUAGUUCGGAUUGUGGGCUGCAACUCGCCCACAUGAAGCUGGAAUCUGUAGUAAUCGUGUCUCAAAAUGGCACGGUGAAUAUGUCCCUGCUCCUU